rnacentral:lncRNA from 1 species
CUUGCUUAAAGAGCAUUCCUAUUUAAAAGCUCCGCAUUUUAAAUUCUUUCUCCUCACUCGACUUAGCUCUCAAACGAGUUCCCCUCUAGAAAACACCUUGCUGCAAAAUCGAAGUUGCUAAAAUCGAAAUCCUUGAAAUUGAUUGCUGCAAAAUUGAAAAGAGAGAAAUCGAAGCCAUAUUGAAAGGCCCAGAUCGUGGUUUCCUCUCUCCAAACAAAUUGUGGUUUCCUCUCUCCAAUAUCAGACCCAAAUCACGAUUCACCCAUCUUGGGUAGAUAGGUUGAACAAAUCGGCACUCGAAAUCCCCUAUUUCAGAUUCAAGCUCGAAAAUCUAUUUCGGUGACACGAAGACUGAGAAUCGGUAUAUAUUUCAGUAAAACAUUCACUAUCAUCCUUGACUAUGUGCUUUCUGCGAGAUUCUUUCCCUACCCAAUGUUGUCGAGGUCUGAAAUUUUUUUCCAUUAUGUGUUUUGGGCUUAUGUUGUGGUUUAUGUUUUGCUGAGCCAAUAACUUAUUUGUUAGCUCUAAGAAUUGGGAAUUUUGAUUAGUAUUAGGCUUUAUACCGGGUAUUCGGGCACUUAUUUUGGCUUUGCUUAGUUAUAAAUUUAUCAAAUUAGAUAAUUUGUUAGCUCUAACAAUUAGGAAUUUUAUACAAGUAUGGACAGACUAAGAAAAACAGAGUUGUUGAGUGACUGUCCUAGCUCUAAUCUAACUAACAUUCCACAUAAAAUUUUGAAAAUAAAUAAAGAUAUAAUUUUUGUGAAAUUUGGGAAAGACCCUUAAGCUUUAUAGCUAGAUUUGCUUUAUCCCUCAUGAACUCUCUUAUUACAUCUUCAUUACAGCAACUAGCAAGCAAGUUUCUGUAGGUAGUUGAGCACAACAGCGACCAUUAAUUAAUUUAAUUUUUUAGCAUUCUGUUCUCUUUAUGCAGUGUACAUGUGGUAGAAGGGAGAUAUGUACUAUUGAAUGUUUGGAAUGAAAGGAGUGCAACAGUUGGUUAGUACUUUUGUUUAUUUACAGUAGCUGUUCAAUUAUGUAAAAUAUUAUUUCAUUUUAUUUGCAGUAGCUAUUCCACAAAAACUACGGCGUUGAGUGAUUAGAAUACAAGUAGUUGUUCAAUUAUGUAAAAUUUUAAGUAGGAGGAGGCUUUGAAGAUUCAAUUCCUUAAAGAAUGGAGUUUUUAUCUUGAUGUUGUAGUCCUUUUGAAUUAACUGGAUUUUGUUUAGUGGUACCUAGUUGAUUGUUUCAGAACUGACUUCUUAUAUGUGUAAUAGUUGGUGAACAUCACUAUUGGAGUGUACUAGUACAUAUGGAUAAUGUUAAACUUUUUUAAAAAAAAAGUAUAUUAGGUGUUGCAUGUUGCUUGGACCAAAUCAAUUUUCAAAGAUAUUUUCAUUGUUUCAUCUAAUUCAUGUUUACCCAAUUUUUAUAUUUGGUCUAAGAAGCACAAAUGGGGUAGUGUUGGUUGAUCUGGUAGACGCAUCUUUUUAUUUGGUGAAUAGGAAUGCUCCCCUGGUUCAAAGAAGAUUUUGCUUAGUUUUGAAAAAAAAAAGUUUUACUCUUGUGUCGUCCUUCAGUACACUGCUGAUCCUUCAACUAACUAAGAUUUGCAAGAAUAUAAAGAUUAUUACCCAAUUUUAUGUUUGAUCUAAUCAUGACAGUUUCUCUUUGAAGGCAACAAUGAUGAAGACUUCAGCAAGUACCCAGAGAGCUGACCAACCUACUCAAUAAACUCAAGGAAUUCAAGCACCUAUUGCAUCUCAAGCCACUCAAGGAAACCUAUUGCAUCUUAAAGCAUUCCACAGUUGAGAAAAUCCCCAAGACUGGUUGAGAAAAAAAACAAUCUUCUGGUGUUUUCAUGAAUGCUCUUGGUUUGGUUGAAACAAGAAUGCUUUUGGUCUUAAUUAUUUGACCAAUUUUUAGUUUUAAGUAUAUAACACUGGUGCUUUUUGUUUACUUGCACAUGGAUGUUUUUGUUUUUGUUUCACAGGUUUCUUUUGGUUUUAGUUGAACAGGGUUCUUUUGGUUUUACUUGCACAAGGAUGCUUUAUAUAAACAGUUGUGCUUUUUGUUUGCUACCACUAAUAGUACAUUUAUGCUACCGUCA